rnacentral:rRNA from 1 species
AUUGAACGCUGGCGGCAGGCCUAACACAUGCAAGUCGAGCGGAUGAAGGGAGCUUGCUCCUGUAUUCAGCUGCUGACGGGUGAGUAAUUCCUAGGAAUCUGCCUGGUAGUGGGGGAUAACGUCCGGGAACGGGCGCUAAUACCGCAUACGUCCUGCGGGAGAAAGUGGGGGAUCUUCGGACCUCACGCUAUCAGAUGAUCCUAGUUCGGAUUAGCUAGUUUGGGUGGUAAAUGCCUACCAAGCCGACGAUCCGUAACUGGCCUGAGAGGAUACUCAGUUACACUGGAACUGGGAGAUGGUCCAGCACACUACGGGAGGCAGAAGUGGCGAAUACUGGCCAAUGGGAGAAAGCGUGAUCAAGCCACGACGCGUGUGUGACGAAGGUAGUCGGACUGUAAAGAACAUGAAGUUGGGCGGAAGGGAAGUAAGUUAAUACCUUGCUGUUUUGAAGUUAACCAAACAAUAAGCCCCGGCUAACUUAGUGC